GAUGAACGCUAGCGGGAGGCUUAAUACAUGCAAGUCGAACGGUAACAUUAGAGCUUGCUCUAGAUGACGAGUGGCGCACGGGUGAGUAACGCGUACACAACCUACCUACAAGAGGGGGAUAGCCACUGGAAACGGUGAAUAAUACCCCAUAGAAUUACGAGAUCGAUAAUUUUGUAAUUAAAGUUUCGGCGCUUGUAGAUGGGUGUGCGUACUAUUAGGUAGUUGGUAGGGUAACGGCCUACCAAGCCGACGAUAGUUAGGGGGCGUGAGAGCGUGAUCCCCCACACGGGUACUGAGACACGGACCCGACUCCUACGGGAGGCAGCAGUAAGGAAUAUUGGACAAUGGGGGCAACCCUGAUCCAGCCAUCCCGCGUGUAGGAAGACUGCCCUAUGGGUUGUAAACUACUUUUAGAUAGGAAGAAAGGUAUGUAUUUAUAUGUAUUUGACGGUACUAUCAGAAUAAGCACCGGCUAACUCCG
rnacentral:rRNA from 1 species